rnacentral:lncRNA from 1 species
AGAAUGGUGCCCCUCGGAGUUUGCGUGCUGCCCUGUGGAGGUUUGCUGAGCUGGCUCACCUGGUUCGGCCUCAGAAAUGCAGGCCUUACCUGGUGAACCUUCUGCCGUGCCUGACUCGAACAAGCAAGAGACCCGAGGAAUCAGUCCAGGAGACCUUGGCUGCAGCUGUUCCCAAAAUUAUGGCUUCUUUUGGCAAUUUUGCAAAUGACAAUGAAAUUAAGGUUUUGUUAAAGGCCUUCAUAGCGAACCUGAAGUCAAGCUCCCCCACCAUUCGGCGGACAGCGGCUGGAUCAGCAGUGAGCAUCUGCCAGCACUCAAG